ACAACGGCCCUUUUCAGGGCCACCAACAUAUUUCAAAAAGAAUCUG
rnacentral:ncRNA from 1 species